UACCAGCACCCCGAGUGGUCGGGACGUUUAUUGGGCCUAAAGCAUCCGUAGCCGGUUUUACAAGUCUUCCGUUAAAUCCACCUGCUCAACAGAUGGGCUGCGGAAGAUACUAUGGAGCUAGGAGGCGGGAGAGGCAAGCGGUACUCGAUGGGUAGGGGUAAAAUCCGUUGAUCCAUUGAAGACCACCAGUGGCGAAGGCGGCUUGCCAGAACGCGCUCGACGGUGAGGGAUGAAAGCUGGGGGAGCAAACCGG
rnacentral:rRNA from 1 species